GACGUAGGGGGCCAGCGUUGUUCGGAAUUACUGGGUGUAAAGGGUUCGUAGGCGGUGCGGCAAGUCGGGAGUGAAAUCUCUGGGCUUAACCCAGAGGCUGCUUCCGAAACUGCUGUGCUUGAGUGUGGGAGAGGCGCGUGGAAUUGCAGGUGUAGCGGUGAAAUGCGUAGAUAUCUGCAGGAACACCCGUGGCGAAAGCGGCGCGCUGGACCACUACUGACGCUGAGACGCGAAAGCGUGGGGAGCAAACAGG
rnacentral:rRNA from 1 species